rnacentral:lncRNA from 1 species
UAAUGUUGAAAACGUAAUCAAAUGAGAAACAGCACAAAGAAAAAGAAUCUGGUUAAUAUAGUCAUCUAAUAAUAUAAUCUGGCAUAAAAAACAGAAUAUAAUUUCAAGCAUAUAUCAACUAAAUUUUCUUGAGGACGAAUCAACUAUGUAUUAAUAGGUCUGUUUCUACUAGACUACUGAUCAAAUAUCCAUGAUCAGUUAGAACACAAAUACUGUGACAUGCACAAUUCUUUUGGAAGUUAUUAUGUUUUUAUUUGGAGCUUAAGGGUCAAGAGUGCAAACUCACCUUUUCUUUGCUUCCUGCACUUCCAACAACAUAGCAACCAACCAACUUUGCAAAUUGCCCAACUAGCUGACCAACAGCUCCAGAUGCUGCAGAUACAUAGACAUACUCUCCUUUCUUAGGAGAGCAAAGCUCAUAUAAACCACCAUAUGCAGUCAAACCAGGCAUACCUAGAAUCAACAGAAAAAUACCCAAUAAUCAGCAACAAUAGUAAAUUCCUCAAAUGAAAUCCUUCAGUUACAUGCCCAUACAGACGGACCAAUUGUUGAAAAUUCAAAAUGCUAGACGUUCAAGCAGGCAUAUUAUAUAUCCCUAUCUCAUUGCAUUGAAUAAAACACGAUUUUCGGCUCAUGCAAACUGGACAUCGAUAAAUUUAGUAACAACUUACCAAGAAUCCCAGUAUAGUAUGACAGAGGCACAUUUGUAUCCAGAAUUUUAAUCAGAUGUUGUGGUGAUUGGAUGAGACUGUACUCCUCCCAACUGGUUAAGCCCCAGACCAAGUCAUCUUUCUUAUAAUUUGGAUGUGUGGAAUCCAACACUUUGGACACUCCAUAUCCGCUCAAGGGCUGCAUAAUUUGAACAUUUGAAAAAAAAAAAAAUCAUUACUGAAUAAUGUAACCUCAACAUCCCUUUCCCAAAGCAAGCAAUCAAAUCCUCAGAAACAAUGCUAACAUGAUAUCAUAACUAAACAUAUGUUUUGAUAAGACAAAAGUUUUAAUCUCAUUAAGAGAAUCUUCUCUUAACAAGAUCCCCUAUACUUAUUAUUGCAUACAUAGUCCGACACAUCAUACUCUCUUCAAGGAUUCAUGCCCACAAACCAAAACCAUAAUGUUUCCCUAAAACACCUCUAAGACCAUAAAAGAUUAUGAAACCAAGAGGUGGGAAUUGAAGAAACUGACCUCGCCAGGGUUGAAGGAGGCAACAAACGAAGGCUUAUCAAGCUUACUCAUACGUCCUCUCAUGUAAGGAUCACAGGAAAGAUAAAGAUUCUUCAAAAGCACUGUGUCUUUUGAGCCCUCUGGCACCUUCAGGUUUAUUGAGCCUGUUAUUAUCUUCAUGUCUGAUUCCUUGGGAAACCCUGUCACGUAGUUGCUCAGAAUCACCUGCUUGUUGCUCACUGCUUCUUCACCCGCCAUUUUUUAUGUAGAUUUUGUUUUUGGAUGGUGAGAAAUUUUAUGUGCGUAUUUAUUUAUAGAGAGAGAGUGAAAAUGUGAAACGCGUUUAAUGUGUAGCAGUUACGAGAAAUUUUGUGUGUGAAAAUUUGGAAGGAAAGCCUGGAAAAGAGCCAGACUUUUGAAAUGGUCGGUCCCAGGAUUUUGACGAUUUUAUUUAUUUUAUUUUUUCCAGUCAAUCUAGUCAAAUUUGUAAUUUUCUUUGAAAUUUCGAAAUUUUGUUUUAAAAUUCGUUGUAAAUUUGGGAAAUUUUGCUGCUGUACCGUACAUCCGCCUUGGCCGUACAGCAGAUCAAGUUGUGUACGCCUUCAGGCUUCUCAAGGUUGUACUGUGAGAUCAUUCCGCAUACGGCGAUGCGGCCAUGAAUUCUCAUGUUGAGUAGGACUGCAUCAAGCAUCUUACCCCCAACAUUUUCGAAAUAGAUGUCGAUGCCUUCAGGAAAGCACCUGGGAAAACAAAUAUGAUUUCAGCAAACUUGGAAUAAAAUAAUGCAACGAAUCUUUUCAUUUCCUAAAUAAACAUACAUCACAAACAUGAUUCUGUUAGCUGCAAGUGAAAAUUUCCCUCUGAAUUGAAUAUCUAUCUUCAUUCCAAGUUUAUACUAUGUAUGGCAAUGGUAGAAAAUAUCAAUGUAACAAAUGAGAUCAGUGAUCUCUGUUUGUCCUGUUUUACAUUUACAGGACCAACGCAGAUAACAUCAAUCAGCGCAUUGUAAUAAUGAAGUGAGAAAAGUGGUUAAAGCAUUCAUUCGUGCUAACCUCUUAAGAGCUGCAUCCAAGUCUGGCUCUUUCUUAUAGUUAAAAGCAUCAUCAAACCCAAACUUGUUCUUCAACAGAUUGACCUAAUGUUGAAAACGUAAUCAAAUGAGAAACAGCACAAAGAAAAAGAAUCUGGUUAAUAUAGUCAUCUAAUAAUAUAAUCUGGCAUAAAAAACAGAAUAUAAUUUCAAGCAUAUAUCAACUAAAUUUUCUUGAGGACGAAUCAACUAUGUAUUAAUAGGUCUGUUUCUACUAGACUACUGAUCAAAUAUCCAUGAUCAGUUAGAACACAAAUACUGUGACAUGCACAAUUCUUUUGGAAGUUAUUAUGUUUUUAUUUGGAGCUUAAGGGUCAAGAGUGCAAACUCA